UGGUUGAUGACAGGUGUUUUGCCACAGU
rnacentral:piRNA from 1 species